CAGGCUUAACACAUGCAAGUCGAGGGGCAUCAGGAAGAAAGCUUGCUUUCUUUGCUGGCGACCGGCGCACGGGUGAGUAACACGUAUCCAACCUGCCCUUUACUCGGGGAUAGCCUUUCGAAAGAAAGAUUAAUACCCGAUAGCAUAAUGAUUCCGCAUGGUUUCAUUAUUAAAGGAUUCCGGUAAAGGAUGGGGAUGCGUUCCAUUAGGUUGUUGGUGAGGUAACGGCCCACCAAGCCUUCGAUGGAUAGGGGUUCUGAGAGGAAGGUCCCCCACAUUGGAACUGAGACACGGUCCAAACUCCUACGGGAGGCAGCAGUGAGGAAUAUUGGUCAAUGGGCGCUAGCCUGAACCAGCCAAGUAGCGUGAAGGAUGAAGGCUCUAUGGGUCGUAAACUUCUUUUAUAUAAGAAUAAAGUGCAGUAUGUAUACUGUUUUGUAUGUAUUAUAUGAAUAAGGAUCGGCUAACUCCGUGCCAGCAGCCGCGGUAAUACGGAGGAUCCGAGCGUUAUCCGGAUUUAUUGGGUUUAAAGGGAGCGUAGGUGGACUGGUAAGUCAGUUGUGAAAGUUUGCGGCUCAACCGUAAAAUUGCAGUUGAUACUGUCAGUCUUGAGUACAGUAGAGGUGGGCGGAAUUCGUGGUGUAGCGGUGAAAUGCUUAGAUAUCACGAAGAACUCCGAUUGCGAAGGCAGCUCACUGGACUGCAACUGACACUGAUGCUCGAAAGUGUGGGUAUCAAACAGGAUUAGAUACCCUGGUAGUCCACACAGUAAACGAUGAAUACUCGCUGUUUGCGAUAUACAGUAAGCGGCCAAGCGAAAGCAUUAAGUAUUCCACCUGGGGAGUACGCCGGCAACGGUGAAACUCAAAGGAAUUGACGGGGGCCCGCACAAGCGGAGGAACAUGUGGUUUAAUUCGAUGAUACGCGAGGAACCUUACCCGGGCUUAAAUUGCAGUGGAAUGAUGUGGAAACAUGUCAGUGAGCAAUCACCGCUGUGAAGGUGCUGCAUGGUUGUCGUCAGCUCGUGCCGUGAGGUGUCGGCUUAAGUGCCAUAACGAGCGCAACCCUUAUCUUUAGUUACUAACAGGUUAUGCUGAGGACUCUAGAGAGACUGCCGUCGUAAGAUGUGAGGAAGGUGGGGAUGACGUCAAAUCAGCACGGCCCUUACGUCCGGGGCUACACACGUGUUACAAUGGGGGGUACAGAAGGCAGCUAGCGGGUGACCGUAUGCUAAUCCCAAAAUCCUCUCUCAGUUCGGAUCGAAGUCUGCAACCCGACUUCGUGAAGCUGGAUUCGCUAGUAAUCGCGCAUCAGCCACGGCGCGGUGAAUACGUUCCCGGGCCUUGUACACACCGCCCGUCAAGCCAUGGGAGCCGGGGGUACCUGAAGUACGUAACCGCAAGGAUCGUCCUAGGGUAAAACUGGUGACUGGGGCUAAGUCAUAACA
rnacentral:rRNA from 1 species